rnacentral:miRNA from 1 species
UACGAGCCACUGGAAACUGAA